rnacentral:rRNA from 2 species
AGGGCGCACGGUGAAUGCCUGGGCACUAGAAGCCGAUGAAGGACGUGACGAACCACGAAAGGCUACGGAGAGCUGUAAGUAAGCUAAGACCCGUAGAUAUCCGAAUGGGGGAACCCGGUGCAGCGAUGCAUCAUUAAAUACUGUUAAGGUAUUUAAAGGAAGACGCAGUGAACUGAAACAUCUAAGUAGCUGCAGGAAGAGAAAGAAAAAUCGAUUUCCUAAGUAGCGGCGAGCGAAAGGGAAAGAGCCCAAACCAUUGAAUUUAUUCAGUGGGGUUGUAGGACUACGAUGUGAGACAGAGAGGUAUAGUUGAAGUCUUUGGGAAAAGACGCCAGAGAGGGUGAGAGCCCCGUAAGCGAAAUAGCUCGAAGCUCUAGUAGUAUCCUGAGUAGGCCGGGACACGAGGAAUCCCGGUUGAAGCAGCGAGGACCAUCUCGCAAGGCUAAAUACUAACUAGUGACCGAUAGUGAACCAGUACCGUGAGGGAAAGGUGAAAAGAACCCCGGAAGGGGAGUGAAAGAGAACCUGAAACCGUGUGCCUACAAGUAGUCAAAGCACAUUAAAGUGUAAUGGCGUGCCUUUUGUAGAAUGAACCGGCGAGUUACGUUAAGUAGCGAGGUUAAGACAGAAAAGUCGGAGCCGAAGCGAAAGCGAGUCUGAAUAGGGCGAGCAGUUACUUGACGUAGACCCGAAACCAAGUGACCUACCCAUGUCCAGGUUGAAGGCUAGGUAAAACUGGCUGGAGGACCGAACCCACGUAAGUUAAAAAUUGCGGGGAUGAGGUGUGGGUAGCGGUGAAAUUCCAAACGAACUUGGAGAUAGCUGGUUCUCUCCGAAAUAGCUUUAGGGCUAGCCUCGCGAGAGAGGAUAAUGGAGGUAGAGCACUGUUUGGACUAGGGGCCCGUCAGGGGUUACUGAAUCCAGAUAAACUCCGAAUUCCAUAUAUCUAUACGCGGGAGUCAGACUGCGAGUGAUAAGAUCCGUAGUCGAAAGGGAAACAGCCCAGAUCACCAGUUAAGGUCCCCAAAUCUAUGCUAAGUGGAAAAGGAUGUGGAGUUGCGUAGACAACUAGGACGUUGGCUUAGAAGCAGCCAUCAUUCAAAGAGUGCGUAAUAGCUCACUAGUCGAGUGGCGCUGCGCCGAAAAUUUACCGGGGCUAAGCAUAGUACCGAAACUGUGGAUGUGCGUAAGCACGUGGUAGGAGAGCGUUCUAAUUGCGGCGAAGCCUAAUCGAGAGGAUAGGUGGAGCGAUUAGAAGUGAGAAUGCCGGUAUGAGUAGCGAAAGAUAGGUGAGAAUCCUAUCCGCCGAAAGACUAAGGUUUCCUGGGGCAGGCUCGUCCGCCCAGGGUAAGUCGGGACCUAAGGUAAGGCCGAGAGGCGUAGCCGAUGGACAACAGGUUGAGAUUCCUGUACUAAUAUUAAUCGUUAAGAGCAAUGGAGGGACGCAGUAGGCUAAUGGCGCAUGUAACUGGAAUCAUGUGUAAGCGUCAAGGCUUGAAGUGAGUCAAAUGCUUGCUUCUAAAAGGCUGAGGCGUGAUGCGGAGCGAAAUAAAGUAGCGAAGGUCAUGAUGUCACACUGCCGAGAAAAGCUUCUAGCCAGAGAGAUAUUACCCGUACCGCAAACCGACACAGGUAGUCGAGGAGAGAAUCCUCAGGUGAGCGAGAGAACUCUCGUUAAGGAACUCGGCAAAAUGACCCCGUAACUUCGGGAGAAGGGGUGCUGAUCUCCGGAUCAGCCGCAGUGAAUAGGCCCAAACAACUGUUUAUCAAAAACACAGGUAUCUGCAAAAUCGUAAGAUGACGUAUAGGUGCUGACACCUGCCCGGUGCUGGAAGGUUAAGAGGAGAGCUUAGCGCAAGCGAAGGUUUGAAUUGAAGCCCCAGUAAACGGCGGCCGUAACUAUAACGGUCCUAAGGUAGCGAAAUUCCUUGUCGGGUAAGUUCCGACCUGCACGAAAGGUGUAAUGAUUUGGGCACUGUCUCAACGAGAGACUCGGUGAAAUUAUAAUACCCGUGAAGAUGCGGGUUACCCGCGACAGGACGGAAAGACCCCAUGGAGCUUUACUGUAGCUUGAUAUUGAGUAUCUGUUAAACAUGUACAGGAUAGGUAGGAGCCAGAGAAAGUAGGACGCUAGUCUUACUGGAGGCGCUGUUGGGAUACUACCCUUGUUUGAUGGAUGCUCUAACCUAGGCCGCUAAGCGUGGUCAGGGACAGUGUCAGGUGGGCAGUUUGACUGGGGCGGUCGCCUCCUAAAGUGUAACGGAGGCGCCCAAAGGUUCCCUCAGAAUGGUUGGAAAUCAUUCGCAGAGUGUAAAGGUAUAAGGGAGCUUGACUGCGAGACCUACAAGUCGAGCAGGGACGAAAGUCGGGCUUAGUGAUCUGGUGGUACCGUAUGGAAGGGCCAUCACUCAACGGAUAAAAGCUACCCUGGGGAUAACAGGCUUAUCUCCCCCAAGAGUUCACAUCGACGGGGAGGUUUGGCACCUCGAUGUCGGCUCGUCGCAUCCUGGGGCUGAAGUCGGUCCCAAGGGUUGGGCUGUUCGCCCAUUAAAGCGGCACGCGAGCUGGGUUCAGAACGUCGUGAGACAGUUCGGUCCCUAUCCGUCGUGGGCGUAGGAAAUUUGAGAGGAGCUGUCCUUAGUACGAGAGGACCGGGAUGGACAUACCGCUGGUGUACCAGUUGUUCUGCCAAGGGCAUCGCUGGGUAGCUAUGUAUGGACGGGAUAAGCGCUGAAAGCAUCUAAGUGCGAAGCCCCCCUCGAGAUGAGAUUUCCUUUGC